ACCUAAUAGAUACCCCGGGUAGUCCACGCCCUAAACGAUGCGAACUGGAUGUUGGGUACAUUACGGUACUCAGUGUCGAAAGCUAAACGCGUUAAGUUCGCCGCCUGGGGAGUACGGUCGCAAGACUGAAACUCAAAGGAAUUGACGGGGGCCCGCACAAGCGGUGGAGUAUGUGGUUUAAUUCGAUGCAACGCGAAGAACCUUACCUGGCCUUGACAUCUGUCGAAUCCUGCAGAGAUGCGGGAGUGCCGCAAGGAACGACAAGACAGGUGCUGCAUGGCUGUCGUCAGCUCGUGUCGUGAGAUGUUGGGUUAAGUCCCGCAACGAGCGCAACCCUUGUCCCUAGUUGCCAGCACAUCAUGGUGGG
rnacentral:rRNA from 1 species